UUUAUGGAGAGUUUGAUCCUGGCUCAGGACGAACGCUGGCGGCGUGCUUAACACAUGCAAGUCGAACGGUAAGGCCCUUCGGGGUACACGAGUGGCGAACGGGUGAGUAACACGUGGGUAAUCUGCCCUGCACUUCGGGAUAAGCCUGGGAAACCGGGUCUAAUACCGGAUAUUCAGUUCCU
rnacentral:ncRNA from 1 species